rnacentral:rRNA from 1 species
UGUUGGUAAGGUAGUGGCUUACCAAGGUGAUAACGGGUAACGGGGAAUCAGGGUUCGAUUCCGGAGAGGGAGCCUGAGAAACGGCUACCACAUCCAAGGACGGCAGCAGGCGCGCAAAUUACCCAAUCCAGACACUGGGAGGUGGUGACGAGAAAUACCAGGUCGGUCCCAAAAGGAUUCGACACUGGAAUGAGUUUAAUUUAAAAAUUUAAACGAGAAACAACUGGAGGGCAAGUCUGGUGCCAGCAGCCGCGGUAAUUCCAGCUCCAGUAGUGUAUCCAAACGUUGCUGCGGUUAAAACGCUCGUAGUUGGACAAGAGAGUAACUUGGUGCGGGCGGGGAGUGUGAAGCUCUAUGUGUUUGCCUGUUGUGGUUGGUGUUGCUUGUAUUGUGUCAAAGCUUUACGAGUGCACUGGUCCUUCAGGAUGUAGCAUAGUAGUGCACUUCUCGACCAUGCUGCCAGGUUGCUUGUAAUGUUUCGUGAGAAUGGUGCAUGGUCUUUAUUGUAUUGUGUACUGUGUCUUACGUAGUGUGCCUUGAAUAAAUCAGAGUGCUCAAAGCAAGCUAUCGCUUGAAUGUUAAUAGCAUGGAACGAAUGUGUUGUGGGAGUGUGCUAGUGACUGGGCCUUGCGCACGGUCCUAGUGCAUAGCACCAACCGCGAAGCGGAACAUUGGUUGCCGACUUCGGGUGAGGAUUAAGAGGGGCAUUUGGGGGCAUUAGUAUUUGGCCGCGAGAGGUGAAAUUCUUGGACCGGCCAAGGACUAACAAGUGCGAAAGCAUUUGCCAAGUAUGUUCCCUUUAAUCAAGAAC